rnacentral:rRNA from 1 species
GACGAACGCUGGCGGCGUGCUUAACACAUGCGAGUCGAACGGUAAGGCCCCUUCGGGGGUACACGAGUGGCGAACGGGUGAGUAACACGUGGGUGAUCUGCCCUGCACUUCGGGAUAAGCCUGGGAAACUGGGUCUAAUACCGGAUAGGACCACGCUCUGCAUGGAGUGUGGUGGAAAGCUUUUGCGGUGUGGGAUGGGCCCGCGGCCUAUCAGCUUGUUGGUGGGGUGAUGGCCUACCAAGGCGACGACGGGUAGCCGGCCUGAGAGGGUGUCCGGCCACACUGGGACUGAGAUACGGCCCAGACUCCUACGGGAGGCAGCAGUGGGGAAUAUUGCACAAUGGGCGCAAGCCUGAUGCAGCGACGCCGCGUGGGGGAUGACGGCCUUCGGGUUGUAAACCUCUUUCAGUACCGACGAAGCGCAAGUGACGGUAGGUACAGAAGAAGCACCGGCCAACUACGUG